UACGGAGGAUCCGAGCGUUAUCCGGAUUUAUUGGGUUUAAAGGGUGCGCAGGCGGAUAGGUAAGUCAGCGGUGAAAUUUCUCGGCUCAACUGAGAGACUGCCAUUGAUACUGCUUGUCUAGAUUAUAGAUGGCGUAGGCGGAAUAUGUCAAGUAGCGGUGAAAUGCGUAGAUAUGACAUAGAACACCGAUCGGGAAGCCAGCUUACGAAACUAUGAAUGACGCUCAUGCACGAAAGCGUGGGGAUCAAACA
rnacentral:rRNA from 1 species